rnacentral:pre_miRNA from 1 species
CGCAUUUUAGUGCAUAAUUAUGUUUGAUUUCUAUUUGUCGAGAAUUGAAAUGGUUUCAAUUCUCGACAAAUAGAAAUCAAACAUAAUUAUGCACUAAAAUGCG